rnacentral:piRNA from 1 species
UGCUUGCGGAAGCUGUCUACAUCCAGUGGU